GACCCCGCAGCGUCGUGGCUAGAGUAGGGUCUGGAGAGAGCUCCCACUGUGGCGAGUCCUGUCGUUGGAUUCCCGCGGCGCCCCGUAAGGCUCCGCCCCGGCGGUGCUACCAAACCCUGUUCGAUUUUAGAAUCGUACAUUCCCAGAGGGAAUCCUAGACCCCUCAUUUUACAGUUGAGGAAACAGGCCCAAGUAGCAUGACUUGUUCGCGCCGCUAGUCGAAGGAGCAGCAGCCCCGAUCCCUUGACUCUGGGGCACUGCUUUCCCUUUAGCUCAUUUUUGGAGGAAAUGGGUGCGCCCUUGCUCGACCUUUGGUGAUUGCCGCCACAGGCCUUCCCGCCGGCUAACUCAGCGUGCCCAAGUCCCGUGACUUAGUGCCAGGACGGUGCUGUGACCCGUUAUCCCCUGUCGGGUUUUACCUCCCCCCGGGAGAGCUCAGCCCUGGAUCCCGGCGGGCGGCGGAGCCUCUCUGGAGCCCGGACGGGACAGCCCACCAGGGUCUGCUUCUGUGAGGGGCCGAGGCGUCAUUCCGCGAAGGCUCUUCAUUCGAUGUACAAAAACCACAAGAUUAUCUAAAUAGAUGCAGAAAAGGCCUUCGAUAAAAAUCCUCAUUCCUUCAUGUUAAAAACUCUCAAUAAACUAGGUAUUGAAGGAACAUACCUCAAAAUAAUAAGAGCCAUUUAUGACAAACUCACAGCCAGUGUCCUUACUGAAUGGGCAAAAGCUGAAAGCAUUCCCCUUGAAAACCAGCACAAGACAAGUUUGCCCUCUCUCCCAACCCCUAUUCAAUAUAGUAUUGGAAGUUAUGGCCACGGCAAUCGGGCAAGAGAAAAAAAUGAAGAGUAUUUAAAUGGGAAAAGAGGAAGUCAAACUAUCUUUUUUUGCAGGUGACAUAAUCCUAUAUCUAGAAAACCCAUUGUCUCAACCCAAAAGCUUCUUAAGCUGAUAAGCAACUUCAGCAAAGUCUCAGGAUAAAAAAUCAAAGUGCAAAAAUUGCUAUACACCAACAACAGGCAAGCCAAGAGCCAAAUCAUGAAUGAGCUUUGAUUCACAAUUGCUACAAAAAGAACAAAAUACCUAGGAAUACAGCUAACAAGGGAAGUGAAGGACCUCUUCAAGGAGAACUACAAAGCACUGCUCAAAGAAAUCAGAGAUGAUGCAAACAAAUGGAAAAACGUUCCAUGCUCAUGGAUAGGAAGAAUCAAUAUUAUGUAAAUGGUCAUACUGCCCAAAGCAACUUAUAAAUUCAAUGUUAUUCCCAUUAAAUUACCACUGACAUUCUUCACAUAAUUAGAAAAAACUAUUUUGAAAUUUAUAUGGAACCAAAAAAGAGCCUGAAUACUGAAAGCAAUCCUUAGCAAAAAGAACAAAGGUGGAGGCAUCAGGCUAGCUGACUUCAAACUAUACGAUAGGGCUACAGUAACCAAAAUAGCACGGUACUGGUACAAAAACAGAGACAUAGACCAAUGGAAAAGAAUAGAGAAUACAGAAAUAAGACUGCACACCUACAACUGUCUCAUCUUUGACAAACCUGACAAAAACAAGCAAUGGAGAAAGGAUUCCCUAUUUAAUAAAUGGUGCUGGGAGAACUAGCUAGCCAUAUGCAGGAUAUUGAAACUGGCACCUUCCUUACGCCUUACACAAAAAUCAACUCAAGAUGGAUUAAAGACUUACAUGUAAAACCCCAAACUAUAAAAACACUAGAAGAAAACCUGGGCAAUACCAUUUAGGAUAUAGGCAUUGGCAAAGAUUUCAUGAUGAAAACACUAAAAGCAAUUGCAACAAAAGCAAAAAUUAGCAAAUGGGUCUAAUUAAACUAAAGAGCUUCUGCACAGCAAAAGGAACUAUUAACAGAGUAAACAGACAACCUACAGAACGGGCGAAAAUUGUUGCAAUCUAUGUAUCUGACAAAGCCCUAAUAUCCAGAAUCUAUAAGGAACUUAAACAAAUUUACAAAAAAAAGCAACCCCAUUAAAAAGUGGGCAAAGGACAUGAACAGACACUUCUCAAAAGAAGACAUACAUGUGGCUAACAAACAUGAAAAAAGCCUUCACAUCACUAAUUAUUAGAUAAAUGCAAAUCAAAACCAAAUGAGAUACCAUCUUACAUCAUUCAGGAUGGUGAUUAUUAAAAAGUCAAAAAAUGACAGAUGCUGAUGAGGAUGUGAAGAAAAAGGAACACUUUAAUACUGUUGGUGGGAGUGUAAAUUAGUUCAACCAUUGUGGAAAACAGUCUGGUGAUUCUUCAAAGACAAAGAGGCAGAAAUACCAUUCUACCCAGCAAUCUCAUUACUGGUUAUAUACUCAAAGGAAUAUAAAUCAUUUUCUUAUAAAGACACAUGCACAUAUAUGUUUAUUGCAGCACUAUUCACAAUAGCAGACAUAGAAUCAACCUAAAUGCCUAUCAGUGAUAGAUUGGAUAAAGAAAAUGUACAUAUACAACAUGGAAUACUAUGCAGGCAUAAAAAGGAAUCAGGUCAUGUGCUUCGCAGGGACAUGGAUGGAGCUGGAGGCCAUCAUCCUUAGCAAACUUACACAGGAACAGAAAACCAAAUACUGCAUGUUCUCACUUACAAGUGGGAGCAAAAUGAUGAGAAUACAUGGACACAUGGCGGGGAACAACACACACUAGGGUGUGUUGGAGAGUAGGGAGAGGAUCAGGAAGAAUAACUAUUGGAUAAUGGGCUUAAUACCUGGGUGAUAGGAUGAUCUGUGUAGCAAACCACCAUGGCACACAUUUACCUAUGUAACAAACCUGCAUAUCCUGCACAUGUAUCCCUGAACUUAAAAUAAAAGUUGGAAAUAAAAAAAAAAGAGUGAUUAUGUCAGGGACUAGGUGGUAGCUGUGGAGAUGAUGAAAAGUGGUCAGAGUCUAGAUGCAUUUUGAGGGUGGGCUUGAUUGGCUGGUGGAUUAGAUGUGAAGGAUGAGAGAAGAAAAAGGUACUAGGAUGACUCUAGAGUUUUUGCCUUGAACAAGAAAAAAGGAUGAAUGCCAUUUACCAAGAUUAUAGAAAAUAGCCAGUCUGUUUAUUCUUACACUAUCAAUUGACACAACUUCCAGUUAAUAAGUUCACUUUAUUUUCUGAAAGUUACAGGAGAAGACUUUACUGGUUAUGACCUUAUACUGCUUUAAUGGUCAUCUGUAGCCAAAAUCAUGGACAUAAAUUCUGAGGAGGGUUCCUGGUAAGCCUCCCAUUCCUGCUAUGAGAAGAAACCAGCAUGCCCAUGCUUCCCAGCAGCAUACUGUAAUUGCUAAGUGUCAAUGAUGAUGUCAGUUUUAGUGUCUCAGUAACAGUUGCUAGAGGAAGGAAGGAAGGAAGGAAGGGAGGGAGGGAGGGAGGGAGGGAGGGAGAGGAUGAAGAAAAAGAACGAAAAGUUAGAAACUAUGUAGUCCCAGCCUCUAGAAGCCAGAGGCAUGAGGUCUACUUAGGGUCCUCUUGAGACAGGUGAAGACUUUUCAGUGUCACAAAAUUAAUAUCACAAAGUGAUAUUAUGUUAGUAUUAUGACAUCAAAAUGUGUGGGCAGGCUGGGCACAGUGGCUCACGCCUGUAAUCCCAGCACUUUGGGAGUCUGAGGCAGGUGGAUCACCUGAGGUCAGGAGUUCAAGACCAGCCUGGCCAACAUGGGGAAACCCCGUCUCUAUUAAAAAUACAAAAUUAGCGGCGCAUGGUGGAGCAAGCCUGUAAUCCCAGCUACUUGGGAGGCUGAGGCAGGAGAAUCACUUGAAUUCAGGAAGAGGAGGUUGCAGUGAGCCGAGAUCGUGCCAUUGCACUCCAGUCUGGGCAACAAGAGUGAAACUCCAUCUCAAAAAUAAUAAAAUAAUAAUAAUAAUAAUAAUAAUAAUAAUGUGUGGGCAGAUGUCAUCUACACCAUAGUUUCAGAAUGCAAUAAAUUCACAUUUAAAAACCUUGAAGUACACCGUAUCAAAACUUUACUUCAUCUUUCAUUCUUAUGUGAUUCAGUUGAUAGGCUGGAAGAACAAUGAAAGUGAGUUCCAUCAUGCUGCCUGGUGUCCGUGUCCUUAAUGAUAAAGACUUUGAGUGUAUUUGCAAACUCUCUGUUAAUGACAGCAUUUUUUUUUAUUCUGAGCUUUAUUAAGGUAUAAUUGACAUACAAAAAUUGUACAUAUUUAAGGUGUAUAAUGUAAUGUUUUGAUAUACAUAUACAUUCUGAAAUGAUUACCAAAAUCAAGAUAAUUAACACAUCCAUCACCUCAUAGUUAUCCAUUUAGCAAAUCCUUUACUAGGUGGCAAAAUUGAUUUUAAAAUCACAUUUUUAUCCCCUUGAAGUUUUUUCAUCUGUAAAUUUUCAAGGGCAGUCUUUUAAUAGAAUACAAACAGCUCAUUCCUUAUGUGGCUCCAAGCUGGCAUUUCAGCAUUGGGUUUAAACUUUAGAGCAACAUAUGAAAAUCUCCUGAAUAAACUUGUCAAUGAUUAUGGUCAUCAAAACUUAGUAUGAUCAAGGAAACUGGUUUUUGCAUAAUAUUCUGAAUAUUUAAACUCCACAGAGCUUGAAUAAAUGAAGUACAAAUUAAACAUAUCGAUUUUUUUCUUUUGGUACAUGGUCUAUGUUAUUGCAGAUUAGCAUCCCAAAUCCCAAAAUCCCAAAUUUGAAAUGCUUCAAAACUGAAACCUUUUGAGCACUGAUAUAAGUCUCAAGGGAAAUGCAUUUUGGAUUUCAGAUGCUCAACCAGUAAGCACAUAAUGCAAAUAUUAAAAAAUCUGAAAUCCAAAACACUUCUGGUCCCAAGAUAUGGGAUACUCAUCCUGUACCAUGGUAAAUGGUUAGUUCUUCCUUGGCUUAUGCCAGUGGUUCUUGAUUUAAGCCCCAGGAGAUAUUGGAAAUUUCUGGAAACAUUUUUGGUUGUCAAAGCUUGGGGGUGGAGUAUGUUUCUGGCAUCUAAUGGGUAGAGGCCAGGGAUGCUGCUCAAUCUUAUAAUGCAUAGGACAGGCCCCAGAAGAAAGAAUUGCCUGGCCCAAAAUGUCAAUCACUAGUGCUGAGGUUGAGAAUUCUUGACUUAGGCCAUAGCCGUUCCACAGCUCAAGUCACAGUUGCAUUCCUUUAGUUGAACCUUACAGUUCAGUUGUUCUACUCAAUAUUUGAAUGCUGAAGGAAGACUGGCCCUCUAGGGUUGUAUUUCUAGAACAGGGAGAAUGUAGUACUUUGAGGUUGCAUGCUUUAGAAUUAGUCAUUAUGUGAGUUGGAAGACCAUUUGAUUCUUUAUUAGAAGUUAGCAAGUGUGCCAGAUUAGACCUUCACCCAAGAACGUCAUGAGGGUUAAUGAGAGGUUUUUAAAAGAUAAUAGUUAUCUUUGUUUCAUGUUUAACAACUUUAUGCAUUGGCUGGUCAUUCCAGCUCCACAGAAAGCUCUUCAGUUGAGUUUCAAUUACAGCCCGCAAUUCCAGAUGCUACAACAUUUUAACUGUGGCUGCCAGAUAUCAGUGAGAUUCACAGGCCUGGAGUACAACAUUCUUUACAAUGUGUGCUUCAUAUUUUGAAGGCCAUCUGUCUCAUUUUCAUCUACAAUUGGCUCUGCCGAAGUUUUGCAUGCCAAAUGAUAUUUUUUAAAAUAAGCUUUUGUGCUACUUUAAAAAUGUUUCAAAAAUAUCUUCGAGAUACAAUUCACACACCAUGAAAUUCAGCCAUUUAAAGUGUACAAGUCAGUGGUUUUUAGUAGAUUCACAAAGUUGUGCAACUAUCACUACAGUCUAAAUUUAGAACACUUUCAUUACUCCAUAAAGAAACCCCAUGCCCAUUAGCAGUCACUCCAGUUCCUCUCCUAGUCCUGGGCAACCACUAAUGUAAUUUCUGUCUCUAAAGAUUUGCCUGUUCUUAUGAGGAGUGGCGGUGUACACCUGUAGUCCCAGCUACUUGAGGAGGCCAAGGCAGGAGGAUCAUUUAAGCCCAGGAGUUUCAGGCUGCAGUGAAUUAUGAUACUGCUACUGCACUCCCAUCUGGGUGACAGAGUGAGAACCCAUCCUCUAAAAAAAAUAAAGAUUUGCCUAUUCUAGACAUUUCUUAUAAACAGAAAUAUACAGUAUUUUGGGACUGCUUUUUUUCACUUAGCAUAAUGUUUUUAAGGUUCAUCCAUGUUGUAGCAUGUAUAAGUAUUUCAUUUCUUUUUUGUCCAAAUCAUAUUCCAUUAGAAGUAUAACCAUAUUUGAUUUAUCCAUUUAUCGUUUGAUAGGCAUUUGGGUUGUUUCCACAUUUGCCUACUAUAAAUAAUGCUGCUAUAAAUAUUCACAUACAAGUUUUUCUGUGAACACAUGUUUUCAUUUCUCUCCAUUAUUAUUAUAGGCUGAACUGUGGCUCCACCAAAUUCAUAAUUUGAAGUCCCAACCCCUAGUAUCUCAGGAUGUAACUGUAUUUAAAGAUAAGGUGUGUAUAGAGGUGGUUAUGCUAAAGUAAAGCUGCUAGGAUGGGGGCUCUAAUCCCGUAUGAAUAGUGUCCUUAUAAAAAGCCAUCAGGGGCCUGUCCGCACAGGGAAACACCAUGUGAGGAUACAGAAAACAACCAUCUGCAAGAAAGGAGAGAGAUCUUAGAAGAAAACAGACCUGCCAGCACUGUAAUCUUCAACUGCCAGGCUCCAAAACUGUAAUAAAUAAAUUUCUGUUGUUUAAUUUACUCAGUCUGUGGUAUUUUGUUAUGGCAGCUCUAGCAGACUAUUACAGGUAAAUACCUAGGAGUAGAAAUGUUGGGUCAUGUGGUAACUCCAUUUAACACUCCAGGUACCUGCCAGACUGUUCAUAUGAGUUUUUGUAUGAAUAUAUGUUUUAUUUUCUCUUAAGUACAUAGGAGUGGCAUAGCUGCUAGGUGUACAUUUAACUAUUUAAGACACGGAUAAAUGGUUUUCCAAAGCAGCUGUACCAUUUUACAUUCCUACCAGCAAUGUUUGAGGGUUCCAAUUUUCUGUAUCCUUAACAAAACUUGUUAUUGUCUAUCUUUUGACUAUAGUUCAGGGACUAAGCUCUGAUUUUUAUCUUGCCCAAAUUCCUACCUAAGAGGUCUGGGGAGUCAUGUCCUACAAACCAUGGAUCCUCAUCAGAUGGCUUUUAUUUGACCAUGUAUAUUGUGACUUGCUUUUCAAUCUGACUCUGGCGUGACAUUAUGAGACAAGGAAAUAAUAUUUAGCCCCAUAAUAUAUUUCCUUGCCAUGCCUCGAAAUUGCCCUGCAAAGUCUCUUGUGGGAAAAAUCCACAUUCCAUAGAAAAUCUCCUUCCCCUUUUAUUUUCUUUCCUUUCUUUGCAGAUCCAGUGGAUAAUCAACUAAGAGCUAGGCAUCCUUUUAGAUUUGAUAAGAAACAUUUUACAACCUACCCUCUCUCUGAAGUCUGCCAUCUGAGAGAUUCUUCUGAACAAUAAAACUGGUUCUCCACAAUCCUUUAUCUUAACCUGAACAUUCCUUUCUAUUGAUCCCAAGUCUUUAGACAAAUUCAACCAACUGUCCACCCGAAAAUGUUUAAAUUUACCUAUAGCCUGGAAGGCCCCACUUUGAGUUGUCUCACCUUUCUGAACCAAACCAAUGUAUUUCUUAAAUGUAUUUGAUUGAUGUUUUAUGCCUCUCUAAAAUAUAUAAAACCAAGCUGCACCCCGACCACCUUGGGCACAUGUUCUCAGGACCACCUGAGGGCUGUGUCACGGGCCAAGGUUGUUCAUAUUUGACUCAGAAUAAAUCUCUUCAAAUAUUUUACAGAGUUUGACUCUUUUCAUCUACAAGUCAUGUGGUGUAAAGUGAUAGCUCAUUGUUUUCUAAUAGACUAUUUUCUACGAAAGUUUUAGGUUCACAGCAAAAUUGAGCAGAAAGUACACAGAGUUCUCAUAUACCCCUGCCUCCCCCCAACCCCAUGCACAACCUUUCCUACUAUCAAUAUCCCACAUCACAGUUGUACAUUUGUUUCAAAUUAUGACACAUCAUUAUCCAAAGUCCACAGUUUAUAUUAGGGUCCAUUUUUGGUGUUGUACAUUCUAUGGGUCCAGCAAAUGUGUAAUGACAUAUAUCCACCCGUGUAGUAGCAUACAGAAGGCUCACUGUCCUAAAAAUCCCGUUUUGUUUAUUCAUUCCUUCCUCCUCUCCAAACCUUCAUAUUUCGGUUUUGAUAUCUACUUUCCCAGCUGCUAAAGCUGUUGAUCAUCUUUUCAUGUGCUUAUUGGUCACUUACAUAUUAUCUUCUUUGGAGAAAUGUCUAUUCAAAUCCUUUGCCCAGUUUUAAAUUGGGUUAUUUGUCUUUCUGUUGUUGACUAUCACUUUUUAAGGUUGAGUUUGCUCCCUGCCAAGGAGGAAAACCCAUGACUUUUGUCUACUAUGAGAAAAACGCUAAUACUUUAUUAUUCUGGAGAAUGGCUUCCUCAGGAAUUUCACUGUUCCUUUCUACUUGAGAUUCACUAAAUGUUAAUACAGCCACUUUGUGGUUUCGGAGCAGAGCCAUCAUUUUUCUUGGCAGCCAGAUUUAUAGGACUCCAAAAGAAACAACCAGCAUUAGGCAGUAUUAAAUAAAAUUUGGAGAUAAAAGCUAAUCAGUGUGUAUAACAAUUACUGAUAUCAAAAUCAAGGAAUAAGAAUCAAAUAGCACUUCUUACUGUUCAUGGACUUCAAAAGAUUUAUAUGAAUUUGGUACUAUUAAAACUUCCUCUAAAUUUAAAUAUGAAACAGAUGGGAAUAAUACAGUUACAUGAGAAAUAUUAGUCAUUUCUCAGUGCUUAUGAGCUGGGUCCCUUUGGUGGACAGUAUUUGUGCAAAUGUUUUAGUAACUACAUGACUCUGCUCUGUUGUGAGCCAUAGUUAUCAUAUUUUUAUUUAUUCUAACCAGUUAAAUUACUAUUUACUGAACACCCACUGCCUCUUGUACUGAAGUCAUUAAAUUCUUUGAUACAUUUUAAAAAAGAAAUAGUUGCUUUUUCUCUGUUUACUAACUUUAAAAAAAAAGAAAAUAACACCCCCCAUUCCUCCUUGUAUUUCUUAGUUGGCUGAAGAUAUUCUGGAACUUAACACCAUAUAUUUUGGGAGAAAGAAAAACAAACCUAAAACAGAAAAUACCAUAGUUAUUUAAAUAUAGGACUUAAACUCUUGAAGUUUAUCUGCACUUAAAAAAAUUCUUUCCUUUUCUUAAAAUUUUUCAGAAAGGAUUUCACUAUCUCCUUUGAUAGUUUAUUCUGCAUUCUAAAACUCUCUUUUCUCAUGGAUAAUCAAAACCGAUCCUAUAGGCGCCUCUUCUGUAUUCAGUAGAAAAGGUGACUAGCAGCCGGGUGUGGUGGCUCAUGCCUGUAAUCCCAGCACUUUGGGAGGCCAAGGCAGGUGGAUCUCCUGAGGUCAGGAGUUCGAGACCAGCCUGGCCAACAUGGUGAAACCCCGUGUUUACUAAAAAUACAAACAUUAUCUGGGCAUGGUGGUGGGUGCCUUGUAAUGCCAGCUACUCGGGAGGCUGAGGCAGGAGAAUUGCUGGAACCCGGGAGUAGGAGGUUGUGGUGAGCCAAGAUCGCACCAUUGCACUCCAGCCUGGGUAACGAGUGAAACUCAAUCUCAAAAAAAAAAAAAAAAAAAAAAGGAAAAAAGAAAAAAAGAAAUGGUGACUAGCUUCCCCCCACCAUCUUGAUAUAAUGAUGAAAUUCUUCACGCCUUCUCUACCCAAUGAGGGAGAAAACAAACAUGAAAAUAUUGCAAGACACAAGACUAAGUACUAACAUUUGUUGACAAUAUUAAUUUUCUCAAUGUUUAGGUUUCUGAAAACAGAACAUUUACUGUUGACUUUUUCCCUCAUGUUACCAGGUGUAUCUCCAAACAUUCUAGAAACUUCAUGAGAUAAUAAAUUAUUAUUAAGCCUAAAUUAGGUGCUUUAUCUACUUUUUGACUGAAAAAAUUGAAACAUGGAAUAAAUUCAUUAUUUAAUAUUAACAUAGGUCUACAUUUCCUCUGCAAAAUUCUUGACCCAUAACUGCCAAUUUUAAGAUUAAAAAUACAGGCUGAGUGCAGUGGCUCAUGCCUGUAAUCUUAGCACUUUGGGAGGCUGAGGCAGGAGGAUCACUUGAGCCCAGGAGUUUGAGACCAGCUUGGGCAACAUGGAGAAACCCUGUCUCUACAAAAACUACAAAAAUCAUCCUAGUGUGGUGGCAUGUGCCUGCAGUUCCAGAUACCUGGGAGAUUGAGGUGGGAAGAUCACCAGACCCUGGGAGGUUGAGGCUGCAGUGAGUCAUGAUCAUGCCAAUGCACUCCAACGUGGGUAACACAGUGAGAUCUUGUCUCAAAGAAAAAAAAAAAAAGUUGAAAAGGAAAGAAAAAAACUUUUCAGGAAGGGUACACAUGCAAAGCAAGCCUGGCACGUAAUGAGUAUAAAUUAGAAACUAUAUAAAAUAUAUACAUUACAAAAUAUAAUAAGUUAAUGUAUAUAAAAUAGAAAAUAUACUUUUUUGGUUAAUAAAACAAAAUGAUGUGAGGUUAUGAAGAAAUUGUAUAAUUUCUUAAUUGGCUUUGAAAGCAAUUUCAAGCAUCCUAAAAGAGUUUCGAGUGAUAAAAACUUAACUAGAAUAAAAGCUUCUCACAUUCGUAAGAGCAACAAUUACUUCUCUUCCAGUGAUCUCCAAACUUAUUUAAUUACAUAUCUCACCAGUAAAAGGUUUGUGCAACUAUAUAUCCAGUGCACAUUUAUUUAAAAUGUAAAUAGGUUAUUAGCUAUUUCUAUUUUAAAGCACGCAUAAAUUAUAGUUGGAGUAAAACAAUGUAAAAGAUUGUGUUUUUACUUACUAAUGGGACAGAAUCUUUUUGCUGUUAUUAAAACAUAGAUUUUUAGUUUUUAAAUAAAAACAGGCUAUGGAAUAUAUUUCAUUAUUUAAAUUCUUUGUUGUUGUUUGUAUUAGUCCAUUUUCAUACUCUUAUGAAGAAAUCCCCAAGACUGGGUAAUUUAUAAUGAAAAAGAGGUUGAAUUAACUUACAGUUCCUCAUGGCUGGGGAGGCCUCACAAUUAGGGUUGAAGGUGAAGGAGGAGCAAAGGCAUGUCUUACAUGGUGGCAGGCAAGAGACUUGUGUUGAGCAUGUUGUUUUUGUUGACACAUAUGAAGAAAAUCCUAGGGCCCUUCAGACUCCUUGGUCUUGGAGAUCCCUAAGGACCACACUUGGAAACUGAUGGUCUAUGGCAAUGGGUCCUUUUAGGCCUUGAAUCCCUUUAAGAAUCUGACAAUAUGAAACUCUGUCUCUAGGAAGCUGCUGGAAGGUACACAUCUUGGGAGUUUGCCCUUUGAAGCUCACCUGUGGACCUUUUUUCCUUUCGAAAAGAAGCAUAAGCUGCAAUAAAAAUUUGGUUUCAAGAUAACAAAGUCAGUCCCCAAAAAUCAGUAUUGAGAGUCACUGACAUUAAAUGAUGAAGAUACGAGGAUGGUGUGGGGACCUUUACUCUUCGAAGAUGAGCUAUACAUGCCCCUGAAAAGGCUGUCUGAAGACAGGGGAAGGCUGGAGAUGGCAACUUUGGCCUCUGCCAAGUACUCGUGCUAUUUUCUGUAUGUGAUACUAUCUGUUUUGUAACUCAGAGGCAACACCACAUACCUAGCAUAAGGCUUGAACUCCCUUUGGGGUUAUCAAUUACUUACAUAGCCUUCCUCUAAGGGAAGGCUUGCAAGUGGUUCAUAUUCGACCCUUCCAUGUGAUAAGCAUUCAUGUGGGCUUCACAAUGUAACAGAGGUACACAGAGAUUCUUGUAAACAGAAAAUUUUAUAAAACUGUUAACUGAUCUCACUUUGAAGAAGUCUUACUGACUAGAUGUCAUUUAUCAGAGUAGACAGGCUUAAAAUGCAUUGCUUGUACUAGACUGUUGUAAUGCAUUUUUUUGUUUUUGCAUUGGUUUUUAAUUCAUUUAAUUGGUUUACACUCAUUUUUUUUUUUACAUUCCAUUUUUGCAUUUGUAUGCCAGUUAAAAAUUAUGAAAUGGCACAUUGUGGGAUUUUGUUUAGCUAAAUUCUAGAAAAAUUGAAAGAUACCUUUUAUUCGACUUAAGCCUGAGGUUAUUCAGCACGGUGAUCUCUGCAUUUUUGAAAGGUUGUCUCGUCGUUUAAUAAACGUAAAUAACUUAAGCACAUUGGAAGAGCUAUUAAAUGAGAGCAGGAGAUUAAAAAGACAUGAUUUCUUACUUUAUCCACCUGACAGGAUAGCUUGCAUUGGUGAUUAACCUUGCAUUGUUAAAUUCAUUUCCUAAAUAUUUAGGUAAGUAGUUGGUUUGAUCAUUAUUUGUAAAGUAUUAGUAGUUGCAUGUUGAAUUAUCAUGUUAAGAUUUUUAGUUUGUUGUUCAUGUGAUAUGAAAGAUAACAAUUCCUAAAACUGAAUGCAUGCAUGGCUUAUUCAGCUCAGGUCACAUACAAAGAGAAAUGUGACGCUGCAAUAAACAUAGCAGAGCUAUCUGGGUUUGAAGCAAAAAGGCUAUGACGUUAGGUAUAUGCACUUUACAUUGUAUGUAUCUUUUUAGUUCUAGUGAACUCAUCUGGAAUCAUGUUACAGAAAAUGAUUCUCCAGGUCCAAACACAUUUAAGUUUAAUGACUGGGACUACUCUAACAAUUGCGGCUAUCUCAUUUUGUCUCAUUGGUUCAUUAGCAUAGCACCCAUUUAAGAACAACUACUUCUAAACACAGUAAUAUUUCAGAGGCUAUAAAAUAAUAGAGAAAGAAAACUUAAAAAAUCCUUUGUUUGCAGCCAAGAAAAUGUGAGGAUCAGAUUUGUACUUGUUUUGAACAAUUGGAAACUGUCACAAUUGUUUUUAAGAUGUAAUAAAUGUAUAUAAAAUAUGGGAUUCUAUAGUAUUAGCCAUUUUGAUAUCUUUUGUUGAAAGAAAAAACCAAAAAACCCCAUAUGUUCUAAGUCUCAGAAAUCAAAGAAUUCCAC
rnacentral:lncRNA from 1 species